AGGAAAAUAAUUUGGAGCGAGAUAAUGAUCCAUGUCCGUUAAUCAAUAGAGUGGAUCCGCACUGAGUGACAGUCAGUCAGUCAACUACAGUCAGUCUGUCAGUCAGUCGCAGGCAGCCGGCAUGUGAAAGAAUGCAGAGCGGGGGUGGGGCUGUUUCUCAGAGCAUCUACAUUCCAAACGCUCCAUUGCCAGUAGAGAUCAUUCUUAGCCUGAAGACAAAGAGAGAAGCCCACGCUGGUGACUUGGUUGGGACUCCGGAUCCACAGCCCUAAAUCAAUUACAAUUUCAUUUGGUUAGGCUGCUCCAUGUUUCCACUAUACUCAAACUGGACAGUGUUCCUUCUCUACCCAAUGGAGAGCACUUACCGGAUUUGACUUCACUCUUCAUCUAUCUUCCUCUACUCAUCCACUGACGGUUGAUCUGUUCUCAGUGGAACGCUCGCUGUGCACCUGCGCUUGGGAGAAGGGCGUGGAGAUACACACGAAAGGUACUCGUACGCGGCCAGGCUGAGUGAACAGGGGAGUUGGCUCGGUUCUUCCGCGCGCAUGGAGGGAGACGUUAUGGACAAGCUAAAUAGCAUGGCUGCGGUGUGUGACUUCGAUCCCAUUGCGGGAAGCGUCCCGGCCACCAAAGUGGAGAUCACAGUGUCAUGCAGGAAUCUAUUAGACAGAGACACAUUCUCCAAAUCUGAUCCAUUGGUGGUGUUGUACACUCAGGGCGUGGAGACCAAACAGUGGAGAGAGGUAAGAAGC